rnacentral:rRNA from 1 species
CCUACGGGAGGCAGCAGUGGGGGAUAUUGCACAAUGGGGGGAACCCUGAUGCAGCGACGCCGCGUGGGUGAAGGAGUGCUUCGGCAUGUAAAGCCCUAUCGGCAGGGAAGAAGCAAGACGGUACCUGACUAAGAAGCCCCGGCUAACUACGUGCCAGCAGCCGCGGUAAUACGUAGGGGGCGAGCGUUAUCCGGAUUCACUGGGUGUAAAGGGAGCGUAGACGGCCAGGCAAGCCAGGGGUGAAAGCCCGGGGCCCAGCCCCGGGACUGCCCUUGGAACUGGGCGGCUAGAGUGCGGGAGGGGCAGGCGGAAUUCCUGGUGUAGCGGUGAAAUGCGUAGAUAUCAGGAGGAACACCGGCGGCGAAGGCGGCCUGCUGGACUGCGACUGACGUUGAGGCUCGAAAGCGUGGGGAGCGAACAGGAUUAGAUAUCCUUGUAGUC